GACGAACGCUGGCGGCGUGCUUAACACAUGCAAGUCGAACGGAAAGGCCCUGCUUUUGUGGGGUGCUCGAGUGGCGAACGGGUGAGUAACACGUGAGUAACCUGCCCUUGACUUUGGGAUAACUUCAGGAAACUGGGGCUAAUACCGGAUAGGAGCUCCUGCUGCAUGGUGGGGGUUGGAAAGUUUCGGCGGUUGGGGAUGGACUCGCGGCUUAUCAGCUUGUUGGUUGGGUAGUGGCUUACCCAGGCUUUGACGGGUAGCCGGCCUGAGAGGGUGACCGGCCACAUUGGGACUGAGAUACGGCCCAGACUCCUACGGGAGGCAGCAGUGGGGAAUAUGGCACAAUGAGCGGAAGCCUGAUGCAGCAACGCCGCGUGCGGGAUGACGGCCUUCGGGUUGUGAACCGCUUUCGCCUGAGACGAAGCGUGAGUGACGGUAAUGAAUAAAGAAGCACCGGCUAACUACGUG
rnacentral:rRNA from 1 species